GUUCAAACAAGGAAGGGCUUACGGUGGAUACCUAGGCACCCAGAGACGAGGAAGGGCGUGGUAAGCGACAAAAUGCUUCGGGGAGUUGAAAAUGAGCAUAGAUCUGGAGAUUCCCGAAUAGGUUAACCUUUUUAACUGCUGCUGAAUCCAUGGGCAAGCAAGAGACAACCUGGUGAACUAAAACAUCUUAGUAGCCAGAGGAAUAGAAAGCAAAAGCGAUUCCCAUAGUAGCGAGAAGCGAAAUGGGAGCAGCCUAAAUCGUGAAAAUGGGGUUGUGGGAGAGCACAAUAUAAGCUUUGUGCUGCUAGGCGAAGCGGUUGAGUCCUACACCCUAGAUGGUGAGAGUCCAGUAGCCAAAAG
rfam:Picea glauca, whole genome shotgun sequence.